rnacentral:tRNA from 2 species
UGCGGGGUCGUCUAACGGUCGGACUCAUCCCUCUGGAGGAUGGUAUCGGGGUUCGAAUCCCUGCCCCGCAGCCA